rnacentral:rRNA from 1 species
GAUGAACGCUAGCGGCAGGCCUAACACAUGCAAGUCGAGGGGUAGGGUUAGCUUGCUAACUUGAGACCGGCGCACGGGGGCGUAACGCGUAUGCAAUCUACCUUGUACAGGGGGAUAGCCCAGAGAAAUUUGGAUUAAUACCACAUGGUGUUAUGAUGUGGCAUCACAUUAUAACUAUAGUUCCAACGGUACAAGAUGAGCAUGCGUCCCAUUAGCUAGUUGGUGUGGUAACGGCAUACCAAGGCAAUGAUGGGUAGGGGUCGUGAGAGGGAGACACCCCACACAGGUACUGAGACACGGACCAGACCCCUACGGGAGGGAGCAGAGAGGAAGAUUGGUCAAUGGGCGCAAGCCUGGACCAGCCAUGCCGAGUGCAGGAUGACGGUCCUAUGGAUUGUAAACUGCUUUUAUACGGGAAGAAACACUCCUACGUGUAGGAACUUGACGGUACCGUAAGAAUAAGGAUCGGCUAACUCCGUGCCAGCAGCCGCCGUAA